UCUGCUCUGAAGAAAAUUGGGGUUCUUUCAUCAGACCAAAGAAAACGAUUGCAGAGAGCAAGAAAUCGAUUCUCGCUCCAUCGAGAAAAUCAUGGCACCAUUGUUAGAGAUCUCUGAAAACAAACUACCAGGAGGAAUUUUAACACAAUCGUUCCGUAAAUUACUACCUAGAUCUUCUUCGGCAAAUAUGUCACUGAAGAUGAAAUCAAUCAAAUCGAUUGAUACUGAAAACACUCCUACGUUAAAUCAAAUUGUUCAGUUAGAUAAUAAUUACAUUUCUUCUCCGUCUACAAAAAAAUAUCCACUGAAAUCAGUUAGUUUUCAGAGAGACGUCUUAGUUUUAGAUCAACAUGUUGAUAAAUCAGCUACUCUUCCUCCUGAUCCAUCAGUUAAGAUUAUUGCAAGAAUCAGACAUGUCAGCUGGCGCGAGAGAGAUCUUCCGACUGUUCGUAAAGUUAGCCCUACUUCAAUUUCUGUUGCAGAUCUCUUGUUUAAUUUCGAUUCUGUUGUUGAUUCAACUUCUACAAAGGAAGACAUCUUCCAAUUGGUGGGGUUCCGGUAGUAAAGGAUUCCUUGGCUAGUUAUAACACUACAAUAUUAUCCUAUGGACAGGAACAAGAAAACUAUGGAGAGAAGUAGGUCAAUUAUCAGUAUCAAUGUUCAUUUCUGGAAGUAAGCUUUUGACUGCUUAUUUUCUGUCAUAAUGAAGUAAUAGUUUAGCUUUUUACAUAUUACUAUGUGGUGUAUAAGUUAUUUACAUUUUGUUGUUGUUAAAGAUAUAUAAUGAGCAGAUAGGUGAUUUACUUGAUCCCGCGCAGCGAAAUUUUAAGAUAAGAGAUGGUGCGAAAAAUGGAUUUUAUGUUGAAAAUCUAACUGAAGAAUCUGUAAUUAGUUAUAAUGAUGUAACACAAAUUUUAAUUAAGGUAGGAAAUAUUCAUGCAUUGGGUAUUUUUAAUGCUGUUUUCCCUUCAUUUUUCUAUCGGUUUGUUCAUCUCGGAAUCAUGUUUGCGGGGGAUUUCAAAUUGAAAGGUUGGUGCAACUAGUAUAGACUCAAAGAUCUCUCGCUCUCAUGUGGUUUUCACUUGUGUCGUUGAAUCGUGGUGCAAGGUAACCUCGUCAAAAUACAUUAGUAGUUCGAAAACCAGCAAAAUUAGUCUGGUUGACCUAGAUCAGACAGAAAUAAACUUGAGGAUGCAUUCAUAAAGGAGGUCAGGAAUGUGAGAAAAUCUCUGGCACAGCUCGGGCGCUUGGUUAACACUCUUGCUGAAAGUCCCCAGCUUGGAAACCCUAGUGAUGUCCCGUAUAUAAGUUCAUGUUUAACACAUUUACUUCAGGAAUCAUUUGGGGGAAAUGCAAAACUCUCAGUCCGCUGCACUGUUUCUCCUCAUGACAGAUGUAAAGGUGAAACUUUGAGCACGCUAAGGUUUGGUCAGCAUGCAAAAUCCAUUCAAAAUGGGCCACAAAUAAAUGAGAUUUCGGAGGAUGAUGUUAAUGGUCUCAGUGAUCAGAUUCGUCUAUUGAAAGAAGAACUUAUUAGAGAAAAGUCAGUUGGGUACAACUUAAUGGGAAAGAAUUCUGAGUAUUACAGAGGAAAAAGUGCCCGUGAAAUCUUAAAUCAGCUGAGGUUAAAUAUCAAUCGCUCGCUGAUCCUACCCCAUAUGGAUAAUGAUUCGGACGAAGAAAUUAAUGUUGAUGACGAAGAUGUAAAGGAUCUAAGAGUCCAAUUAGAGAAUUUACAAACAAACCUAUCCUUCGACAAGGAAGAAAGUUUCUUUUCAUCCUUUGAAGAUAGUUUAGAUACAGAUUUCUUAGACAUACAGCCCUUUCCAAAAUGUGGAAACACAUUAGGAAGUUGGUUAAAAAUGGAUUCAUCAGCUGAAAACCAAACCAGAUUGACUCUCGAUCUCAUGCACAAAGAAUGACAAAAGCCAUGUGUUAGUUUGGGCCUUCAUAAAAAAAUUGGAUUGGCUGAAAAAAUGUGUCUGAAUGUGGUAUGGGCACACUGACAAGAUACCAUUUACACAGAGCUAAAAUUUCUUGUUACAAAAUGCUCUCAAUGAUUAUAUCAUAUAGAAGUUCAUGAUAUGCAUUUUCUAGUUACGUACUGUCCAUUGGAUUUGUUUUAAGCUAGGCAUGUAGUUAUUGAAUUGGAUCUAGUCGUGGAUUGUGCAGAUUAGAACGACUUAAAGACAACAGGAGCAUACGAGCCUUUACGCGAUGUUCUCGUGAAAUAUGGAGUGGGUUGGAGUCAUCCUUGGGAGGGUCAUGAAAAUCACUCUCAUGGGCAUGGGCAUGGAAAUGCACAGGAGCAUGAGGUCAGAGCUCAUCAUGAACAAUGAAACUCAACUAAAGCAAGAGAACUUAAUGAAAAUUGCGCUUGAUACUACUACAAGCUUUACUGCAGAAAUCAGUGGUUUGAACAAUAUACACUUGGUAAUCAUGCUUAUGUUCUUUCCUUUAUUGAUUCUGGUGCUGAAUUCCAACAUGGAUGUGUAACUCCUAGUUACACUAGUCAGUUUCAUAGGUCUCGCUGGAACUGGAGUUGAUGCUGAAUAAACAAGUCAGG